AAUCGUGGCGCGGGGCGUGCGUCCUCGGGUUUGGUGUUAUUGCAUUUUCCGUUAAAUUGUCGAACCAUAUCCAUAUCCAGGAUCUGGUUGACCUGGCCCAUGUCUUAGCACCAGUCCAUCGUGGAAUCUUUUGUGGAGCGUGCUUGCUGCAUUUAGGUGCCACCAGUCUGCCAGAAUGCUGUACUUAGAAGAUUACAUUGAAAUGAUCGAGCACCUGCCCCGGGAGCUGCGGGACAGCUUCACCGAGGUGCGGGAGAUCGACCUCCAGGUGCACACGGACGCCACGCCCAGCCGCCAGACGGGCAGCUCCCCAGCCAGCUCCACCCGGCACAUGCUCCGCUCCAUCGCCGUGCUGCGCCACGUGCUGGGCGAGCUGCGCGGCAGCCUGGCGAACGUCCCGGGC